GAAGGUGGCCUGUGAGGGUUGCUGGAGGUAUCAGAAGUGCGAAUGCUGACAUAAGUAACGAUAAAGCGGGUGAAAAGCCCGCUCGCCGGAAGACCAAGGGUUCCUGUCCAACGUUAAUCGGGGCAGGGUGAGUCGACCCCUAAGGCGAGGCCGAAAGGCGUAGUCGAUGGGAAACGGGUUAAUAUUCCCGUACUUGGUGUUACUGCGAAGGGGGGACGGAGAAGGCUAUGUUGGCCGGGCGACGGUUGUCCCGGUUUAAGCGUGUAGGUGUGUGUUCCAGGUAAAUCCGGUUCACUUUAACACUGAGGCGUGACGACGAGGCACUACGGUGCUGAAGCAACAAAUGCCCUGCUUCCAGGAAAAGCCUCUAAGCAUCAGGUAACAUCAAAUCGUACCCCAAACCGACACAGGUGGUCAGGUAGAGAAUACCAAGGCGCUUGAGAGAACUCGGGUGAAGGAACUAGGCAAAAUGGUGCCGUAACUUCGGGAGAAGGCACGCUGACAUGUAGGUGAAGUGAUUUACUCAUGGAGCUGAAGUCAGUCGAAGAUACCAGCUGGCUGCAACUGUUUAUUAAAAACACAGCACUGUGCAAACACGAAAGUGGACGUAUACGGUGUGACGCCUGCCCGGUGCCGGAAGGUUAAUUGAUGGGGUCAGCGCAAGCGAAGCUCCUGAUCGAAGCCCCGGUAAACGGCGGCCGUAACUAUAACGGUCCUAAGGUAGCGAAAUUCCUUGUCGGGUAAGUUCCGACCUGCACGAAUGGCGUAAUGAUGGCCAGGCUGUCUCCACCCGAGACUCAGUGAAAUUGAACUCGCUGUGAAGAUGCAGUGUACCCGCGGCAAGACGGAAAGACCCCGUGAACCUUUACUAUAGCUUGACACUGAACAUUGAGCCUUGAUGUGUAGGAUAGGUGGGAGGCUUUGAAGUGUGGACGCCAGUCUGCAUGGAGCCGACCUUGAAAUACCACCCUUUAAUGUUUGAUGUUCUAACGUGGACCCGUAAUCCGGGUUGCGGACAGUGUCUGGUGGGUAGUUUGACUGGGGCGGUCUCCUCCUAAAGAGUAACGGAGGAGCACGAAGGUUGGCUAAUCCUGGUCGGACAUCAGGAGGUUAGUGCAAUGGCAUAAGCCAGCUUGACUGCGAGCGUGACGGCGCGAGCAGGUGCGAAAGCAGGUCAUAGUGAUCCGGUGGUUCUGAAUGGAAGGGCCAUCGCUCAACGGAUAAAAGGUACUCCGGGGAUAACAGGCUGAUACCGCCCAAGAGUUCAUAUCGACGGCGGUGUUUGGCACCUCGAUGUCGGCUCAUCACAUCCUGGGGCUGAAGUAGGUCCCAAGGGUAUGGCUGUUCGCCAUUUAAAGUGGUACGCGAGCUGGGUUUAGAACGUCGUGAGACAGUUCGGUCCCUAUCUGCCGUGGGCGCUGGAGAACUGAGGGGGGCUGCUCCUAGUACGAGAGGACCGGAGUGGACGCAUCACUGGUGUUCGGGUUGUCAUGCCAAUGGCACUGCCCGGUAGCUAAAUGCGGAAGAGAUAAGUGCUGAAAGCAUCUAAGCACGAAACUUGCCCCGAGAUGAGUUCUCCCUGAGACUUUAGGUCUCCUGAAGGAACGUUGAAGACGACGACGUUGAUAGGCCGGGUGUGUAAGCGCAGCGAUGCGUUGAGCUAACCGGUACUAAUGAACCGUGAGGCUUAACCUUACAACGCCGAAG
rnacentral:rRNA from 1 species